rnacentral:rRNA from 1 species
UACGGGGGGGGUAAGCGUUGUUCGGAAUUACUGGGCGUAAAGGGCUCGUAGGCGGCCAACUAAGUCAUACGUGAAAUCCCUCAGCUUAACUGGGGAACUGCGUCCGAUACUGGUUGGCUUGAAUCCGGGAGAGGGAUGUGGAAUUCCAGGUGUAGCGGUGAAAUGCGUAGAUAUCUGGAGGAACACCGGUGGCGAAGGCGGCAUCCUGGACCGGUAUUGACGCUGAGGCGCGAAAGCCAGGGGAGCAAACGGG